CUGACAGACAUACAGACACAUACACAUACUGACACACACAUAUAUACUGACACACAGACAGACAGACAUACUGACACACACACAGACAUGCUGACACACACACACAUACACUAACACACACAUACACUAACACACACACAAACACACACGCACGCACAAACACACACACACUAACACACAUACACUAACACACAAACACACACACUAACACACAUAAACACACACAUACAUACACUAACACACACAUACACUAACACACACACACAAACACACACACUAACACACAUACACUAACACACAAACACACACACUAACACACAUAAACACACACUAACACACAUAAACACACACAUACAUACACUAACACACACAUACACUAACACACAAACACAUACACUAACACACACUAACAC